UACGAAGGGGACUAGCGUUGUUCGGAUUUACUGGGCGUAAAGCGCGCGUAGGCAGAUCGCUAAGUCAGGGGUGAAAUCCCAGGGCUCAACCCUGGAACUGCCUUUGAUACUGACGAUCUGGAGAUCGGGAGAGGUUGGUGGAAUUCCGAGUGUAGAGGUGAAAAUUCGUAGAUAUUGGGAAGAACACCAGUGGCGAAGGCGGCUAACUGGUCCGGUACUGACGCUGAGGUGCGAAAGCGUGGGGAGCAAACAGG
rnacentral:rRNA from 1 species